rnacentral:snoRNA from 1 species
AAAAAAGCAGGGGCAUGUUGCCUCUGUGAUCAUGCCUCUCGUAACCUUCAGGGAUAUAAUAAUCAUUGUUAUUGGGUGAAUCUAUGUUCUCUUUUGUUUGACUGAUGGUUCGUAGUAAAUGAUGGAACACUU